GAGAUCGGUGGAUCUAGGUCACAGCUGCUGAGGAGUUAGGAGGGACGAGACAGACACUCUGGCAUCACGUUGCUUCGAAGUGAAAUCGGGAUCGGCCAAGACUGAACAGCCCUUUAAAGGGAAAAAAGACUCCAAACCAGUACUGUGAUAGAUCUGUUAUUUUUAAGGAACAUCCUUUAAAUUUAUGCACACACACAAAUAGAGAGACAGGGAAAUGAUGAACAUAUACCCUUUCCUCAGUGAAAUCAGGUUAAGAAUUAUAAUGCAUUAUUGUUUAACUGUUUAAAAAAUAUCCUUUAUUGGUUAUAAGCACUAAGAGUUUGAGAGGAAGUUUUAUCGGGGUUCAGCAUCUUGUCACCAAGAUGGAGUUUGGUCAUUUAAAGACCCGAGAAGCUAAAAUAUUAGGAGAAUAGUUUAUUAAGUUCUGUUUCUUUUGCUCCAGAUCUUUACCUAUAAGAAGAUGAGAAAUAAUUGUAUUUUUACCCAGAGAACUCAUAUGCCUCGGGCGGGGGGGGGGGGAACCCCUGUCUGUUUCUAGGAUGGGUUUAAAAGUCACUUGGCACCUGGGGGUGGGAGCCGGGGCCUUGGCCGCCCUCCAGGGGCUCUCCGUGACGUAGACAGUUCCAGUGUGGGCCUGUCUGAGGUUCAAGGGGAAAGGAGUGAGGAUAAAUGGAGUUUUCCUUUGAAGUUAAUAACCUCCUGCAAAGGCUUUUAGUAGAACAGCAGACACCUGAAACAGCACUUAACAUCCCCCUUUCUUUCCCUGCGAUGGUCAAACGCAGUUCGAGAACACGUGGUCUUUGAGAGCCAAUCACCGGGUCUGUGUGCCAGGCACACCCUGGGCAGGACCCAGGACCCAGGACCGGGUGGUUUACGCCCCUUCUCAGCCUCACAUGUGGCUUCUCCUCAGCUGGGGGCCCCGCGCAGAACAAAGAAAUGCUUGGCUCUCCUGAAUGCCUCUGUCCCCCAGCCCAGGCAGGCAGGAAGCCAAGAGAAAUGUCUGAGUGGCCGAGGUUUCUCUUUUCCGUUCUACUGUAGGAGGCAGGAGACCCUUUUUGAAUUAGCUCGGUUUUCUUGUUCAAAGGCACACUCUCCAGACGGCAUUUGCAGAAGUCUGUCUGUAACAGUCUGUGUCUUCUUAUGCCUGGGACUUAUUUGGGGAGUGAGAAUCUUUCCAGGAUGGAUUCUGCUGGCCAUUUUGGGCCACUUUGGAAGAUGCUGUGGGGACACGUAUUCUCAGGUAUGUUCCACCUGGGGCGACACGUGGAUGCUUCACAAGGAGCACAACCAAACCAAACAUCACGGUGGCCUCACGCUCAGACAACACGCCAGUGGGGGCCGGACGUUGUGUGUACAUGAGGGUGAAGUACAUGCUGGUGGGGACGUAGGAUGGGGGAAGAUGAACUCUGAGCAUUUGUAGGCUGUCGCACGCGCAUUAUCUCAUUCAAUCUUCCCAAAGACCAUUGUGCGGUGAGAUAUUUCAGACUCCUAUUUUACCCAUAAGAGGACAGAAUCAGGGAGGUGAAGCCAUUUGUCCGUAUCAUAGCUAGUAUGUGCUAUAGCUGGAUGGGGUUUGCGCCCAGCUCCCAGUUCUGGUCACAGCUUCUCUGUGCUCCUUCCCUCCCUGUGGUUAGUGGUACAGGCGGUGGCCUGGGGGAUGUCUCAGCGUCUCAGCCGGAUUUAGGGUGGUUCGCUGGGUCCCCUCAGAUUCAGAUGCUUCUGCCGUAAGAACAUCCAGAUGGCACCCUUUAACCCAGAACGCUUGGAAGCAAAGUUCCAGAACAGAACCUGAGAACAACAGAAGGAGAACCAGAACAACAACCUGAGUUAACACGAGGCAGGUUUCCUCGACAGCUAUGUGAGAGAGUACAGAGAAUCGGGCUUUGGUCGCAGAGGACAUAGGUUGGAAUCUAAUGGCAUGAUCUCGGCCAAGCUACACAACCUCUGAAUUCAGUUCGCCUCUGGCCUAUAAUCGUUUGUACCUCAGAGAAGUGUGCGUGAAGGAGAGGUUCCCUGUGACAAAUGCCGGGCCUUCAGGUUUAAGCAGACUUGAUUUAACAACAUCUCCAGAUAAAAUUCAAAACAGCUAUAGAAGAAAACGAAUUGACUUUACAGCCUGCUAGGAUGUUGACAAUGGCUCAGGACGUACACAACUCAGAAAAAAGAAAGGGGGGGGGGACUGAGGAAGGAAUCCCCUUUUCAGAGACUGAGCACGUUGGUUUGGAGUAGAUUAUAAGUAAAAUGUAAUGACGUCCACGUAAGCUUCCAUCGGUGAUGAUCAGGCACUGGAAUGCUCGCACAUGGGCUCAUCUGAGCAUUACUAAUUCAGGACAGUUCUGUUUGUAUGGAAUUAUUUGCAUUUAUGUUUUGCCCGAGUUCAAAAAGGGUACCCUCAGGUCUUGCUCAGAGCAUGGGGGACUAAACACGCAGCUCUCAUUAACAAGCCUGCGAAAUGUGCAAGCCUGCUCCACUCCCUAAAUGCUUUGCAGGAAGUGUUCCUUCUGCCAGCGUGCGGUCUACAGCAGCACCUUCCAGACUGGAAAGCUCAGCAGAGUGGUGUAGCACUGAGGAACAAGCCACCAUAUGGGAGGUCUGUCACCCAAAAGGUGGCUUGGGAGCCAGACGUUUCCUUGGGACCAAGCCAAACAAGGAAGUUCGGGCAGGUGAGAGCUGACCAGCGCCGUGCCCAAGUUCACCAGUUGGACUUUGCUCGAAGGGACCCUCUCACAGCUGACAGAGGGCCUUGGAACUCUUGGGUCCCCUUCGUGUGAACACGCGGCAGCUGUGGUGUGUCAGGAAGGAGUCCCCUUUGCCACAGAGAUGAUGCCACAGUUCAAAGCGUGGCCUUGAAUGUCAGACAGAUUUGGGUCCCCUGCUCACCAGCUGAUUGACCUCGGGGAUGCUGUUCUGCCCUUUGAAGCUUUGGUUUCCCCCACUGCAAGAUGGGUAUAAAAACAUGACAACUUGCCUCAUGGCUUGUGGCGAAGCAUCUUAACAUAAGAAAUGUCUAGCGCACAGUAACCACUCAAGAAAUUUUGGCUUUUUUUUUUUUUUUCCCUCAAACUCUCGGAGCCCAGGGAUCAGUCCAUUUGGGAAGCAAUUUCCUCAGCACUUGCAGUUGCUAUAAAUCAAUGGGCAGAUUGCCUGCAUUUGGGGUGGAAGGCAAUUUAAUUCCGGUGUCUCUACUGUUUGCUUUGUUUUGCUCUGAAUUCAGGCCGUAAAAGGUAAGUUGGCAUCAGCAGUCAGCUGUUGCCACCUACAUCUGAAUGCCAAUGUCCUCUCAUCUAUUGACACAAGAAGAGAGUAAAUAAGGUAAUGUCCCCGGAAUUUUCUUUACACUAAACGUGUAAUUAGCCACUUACCCAUGAUGAGUAAAAUUUAAUUUCAGCUAAGUGAAAAGGAAUGCUGAUUAGAUUUAUUUUAUUAUCUGUUUACUUUCUGGGAAGAGGGCAGCUGGAUAAAAUAUCGUCUUGACUCUACUUUUAAUGUCCUGCAGUGCUUACCACUGAAACGUGCAGAAACUUGAAGCCACUGCACGCAUAAAUGCAAAUAUUCAUUUUAUUGGCAUUUUCCUUCUUUUUAUUAGUUGGAGUGGAGGUGAGCAUGACCCCCUAGCUUCUGUCUCCCCCAGUGCAGAGGCGAGAGGGGCGGGAGGCAAGCCUGGGAGAGAGGCAGAGACAAGUUAGGGCAGGGCCAGCCCUGUACAACACUGCUUGAAGGGGCCUCUCUCCUCUGCUUUCACUGUUUCUCUCUUUCCGGUGACCUUGCCUCCCCUUUGGCAGCUCAGAGCCCCUGCCGGGGCCCCUUUCCUGGCCUCCCUUACCCCAGGAUUCCUGGCUGUUCCUGAACCAUUGUUCUCAUAGCCCUAUUUCAUCAAGACCCCUCUUCCAAAGGCUCUCAGCGAACGGUUGUAAGGAAAGAAAGAGUAUACAUUUCUGCGAAGGUUUUUAUUUUUUUAUUUAUUUUUAUGCUUAUUUAGUUUUUGAGAGAGACAGAGUACGAGUGGCGGAGGGGCAGAGAGAGAGGGAGACACAGGAUUGGGAGCAAGCUCCAGGCUCUGAGCUGUCAGCACAGAGCCGGAUGCGGGGCUCAAACACAGACCGUGAGAUCAUGACCUGAGCCGAAGUCGGAUGCUCAACCGACUGAGCCACCUGGCGCCCCUCUGUGAAGGUUUUUGUAAAUGAUAGUAGCUUCAUGGGCUUCCUUGCUGAUGUCGUAUUUUUGUGGAGUACACACUUUAAGACAUCAGUAUUUAAACCUUAGGGAAUGAAUCAGAAAUGUUGGAGUUUCAGGAAGGACUUUCUAAUUGCCCUUCAAAAAAUUUUUUUAAUGUUUACUUAUUUGAGAGAGACAGAGAGAGACACACAGAGAGAGAACAUGAGCAGGGGAGGGGCAGAGAGAGGUAGGGAGACAGAGAAUCCAAGCAGUCUCUGGGCUGUCAGUGCAAAGCCUGAUGUGGAUCUUGAACCCAUGAACCAUGAGAUCAUGACCUGAGCCGGAGUCAGACGCUCAACCGACUGAGCCACCCAGGUGUCCCUCCUUUCAAAUGUAACAAGAAAAACAAACGUGUCCAUUUCUACAGUCUUAAGACACUCCUGUUAACCAGUAUCAACCAGUUCCUAGAAAAAGAGACCGGAGAACAUCCAGAGAGCAAGUCUAUGAAUUCCAUCCCCUCGUUUCAGGGAUAAUUACGACAUUGUUUACCAUCGGGACUCCAUAAGCUACACUUGAUAGAAUAUCUCAUUCUAUUUUGUUUCAGGCUAUGUGUAAAUGUGGGGAUGACAGAUGACUUUUCCCCAUCCUUCCUGUCUUUGUGGUUUCCCGGUCAUAGAAUUUGAAUGAAAAGCUUUUGAUCGUUGUAUUUUUUUAUUUGUUACUGAAAUACUCUUUUGCUUACAUUUAGGCAGCUCUGGGAAUGGCCAUUGGAAGAGCACACGUUAAAUACUUUGGCUGGCACCAUCAUACUUCGGCCAUCUGUCUAGGUUUCGAAGUACAUGGCCUUCCUCGGGACCUCACUGGGGUGAUACUUGGGGGGGUGUUGAAAUCUGCUGAGAUUUAUUUUGAUGAAGAUGGAGGCCCCCAAAUGUGGGGUGAAUGGAUCAGGUGGAAGAUGGCAGCGUGGGUGGUGAAAGAAUUCACCAUAGGCAGAGCAAAGGAGAUAGAAGUUUACUGAAUAAACUGCAAGGGAACGACAGCCACAUCAGAUGGCCUCGCUGUGCUUGGAGAAACAAAUGAACAACCAGAAGGUCAACAAAAACAGCUCUUCCAUGCACCUGACAUUAUGACCCAUGAAUUUCCCAAUGAGACAAGAACAACUUUAUCCUGAUGGUGACCGAGAGUGGCACUGAUGCCACAUUUGGGGCCAAUCGCUCAUGUAUGAGAGAAUGACCAAAAGGGGGAACUCUUAAAUUCUCAACAAAAUUCUCCUCUUAGAAGGAGGCCGUGAGACUGAGGUGGUUCUAAUACCUCAGGUGUUUGGGUAAGCAAACCCAAGCCAAAGCCUGUAAACGCCUCAAGGAUAAGAGAUCAAAACCUAAGGACAACCAACCAGUUGAGCUUUUCCAAGUCCAGCACACUGAAGCUACGGUCAAUCAAAUAAUUUCCUUGCUUGGCUUCCACAUCUUUUCUAUAAAAGUCUCUCCCCUAGCUCCUGUUGGGGGAGCACUUCUGACCAGUUCUGACUGGGCACUGCCUGAUUUGAAUUGAUUUUUACUCAAAUAAACGCUUAAUAUUUCUAAUAUGUCUCUGUCUUUUAACCAUGUAAAGAACUCUGACAUUCAACAGUCAGAAAAUACACAACGCAAUAAAAACUUGGCCGAAGAUUUGAACAAUUCACCAAAGAUCUAUGGAUGACAAAUAAACACACGAAGAGAUGCCCAACACCAGCCAAUAGGCAAACAUCAACAAAAGUCACAGUGAAAUACCACUUCGCACCUAUUAGAAUGAAAAAUUAAAUAGACUCAUCACAGGAAGUAUCAGCAAGGAUUAGGAAAGCUGGAGCUCUCAUCUACCGCUGGUGGGCAUGUAAAAUGUUCCAACCGCUUUGGAAAGCAGUCUGUUACCAAAUUAAACUUACACUUACUAUAUGGUCAGCCGUUACACAAAUAGAUAUUUACUCCAAAGAAAAGAAAGUGUGUGUCCAUUGAUAUACAUAACAUGAAUGACUCUCCCAAGUAACGAUGCCGAGUGAAGGAAGCAAACAAAAGCGAGUGCGUGGCGUAAGUCCAUUUAUAUAUAACUCUAGAUAAUGCAAAUUAAUCCCUACUCACAGGAAGCAAAUCAGAGGUUGUGGGGGAGGGGAGAGGACUUGAGGGAAGGAUUUUAAAGGGCUCCUUGUGUUGGUGUGGUUAUGGUUUCAUGGCUGUUUACAUACAUCAAAACUUAUCUAAUUGUCCACUUCAAAUGUGUGCUGUUUUUAACGUGUCGUCUAGAACUCAAUAAUAUUUUUGUAAAGUUUUUAAAGAGAAAGCACCCCACAGAUGUAUCUGGAAUCAUGCAUUUUCUCAAUUCUAAGAAUACUUUCAAAUCGCUGGUAUCUAUUCAUCCAUCAACAUCUAUUCAGCCAAGCACUGAGCAAAACCGGCCCUGACUUACCUGGCUGUCUGUCUAGUGGGGGAGAGAGCCAAUUGUAUAUAUAAAGUAAUAAUGGUAUGUUAUGCUUACAGAGCACCUGUAUUUGUGAGGCGGUAAUUAAAAUAGAUUUUACUGAUUUUACCGAUUUUUUUUGUUGUUAUUUUACUGAUGAGGAAACGGAGGCAGGGAAGGGUAGGUACCUCACCCAACGUGGCUCAGUAAGUGGCAGUGUGAGAUCGGAACCCAGGCAGCGUGGCCACAGGGGUUGGAUCCUACCCAGCUCACUGCUCCACCUCCUGGGUGGCAAACUGAGAGGUGCCUUGUGGUGCAGAGGCCAAGACAGGUCACAAGGGCCCUCUGCCUCAUGCAGGUGCCACCCGGAGGAGAGGCCGCCUCAGGGAAGUGAAGGGCAGUGAAGGCGGGUAGGAGCCACGCAGGUGAAAGAGGCAGCCUCACAUCAGACCUGGUUCUGUGUCUCUGGUCACACUCUCCAUUUCUCUCCCCGACUCUCACUGUCCUCCUCUUUCUCUGAAAUGGGUAGGCCCGGGAGAGCCUCUCUGCCUAUGCUCUCGACCACUUCAGGAAACAGAACCAGGUGGGUCCCAAGGGCUGGAGGGCGGGCAUUCCUUUUGCAUCACCCUUUUCCGCUGGAGUCUCUGAAGGCUUGAAGCAGGCGGAGAGACAUAAGUGUUGGCCCAAGACCUUGGCCUUUCGACAACCAGGGGCGUUCCUACCUUUUCAGAUACUCCCAUUGAGCCUUCUGAGUCCCGCAGCUACUGAGAGCUGCACCCAAAUCCAAAAUCCGAUUAUUUUUUUUGAGGCAAAUACGUAACUGAUUAUGAUAUGGUAAUAGCGUCAUUCGUGGCUCAGUCGAUGAAGCCUCCGACUUCAGCUCAGGUCAGGAUCUCACAGUUUGUGAGUUCGAGCCCCGCGUCGGGCUCUGUGCUGACGGCUCAGAGCCUGGAGCCUGCUUCCAGUUCUGUGUCUCCCUCCCUCUCUGCCCUUCCCCUGCUCGUGCUCUCUCUUUCUCUGCAAAAUAAAUAAAGCUUAAAAAAACUCAAAGUACUGGUGUGACCUUGUACUGUUCACAUCAUAAUCUCGGAUUUGCAAUCACUAAGGGCCAGAGCUGAUCGUACCCAGCUCCCCAAAUCUCUAACCUAAACACAUUACGGGAUUAAAAUUGACCAUUAGCAGUGGUCCUAAAGAGGGUAGGGUACUAUUGUAAAGGCUCUGUAACCUGCUGAUAUUAUUAUAAUUGUUUUCAAGGAAAAACUGGUUGGAGAUGAGGCAAGGCAGCACAAAGGCCAUUCAGUUUUGGUGGGGGGUUGAGGCAGGCAGCUCAGGGGCCCCACUCACCCUCCAGUCCCUGAAAGGUAUAUUGUUAAUACUACAUGACAGAUGAAUCAUACCAUGAACCCCAAGAAAUGCCUAGAGGGAAAUCAAAAAAAUGCCGUUAGCAGACAGACUUUUUAUGAUUUUCCCAGGAUACCGUUAUGUUUCCAGAAACUCAGCUCGCCGCCUUACUGAAUCACAUACGUCACAUUACCAGAAACAGUUGCUGACAAAUACUUCAUUUAAAUGCUAUUGAGAUAAAGGCAGGAAGGCUGCGAACAGUUAGAGGCAGAAAAGUAACAUAUGUGUCCAUUGGUAUAUUGUCCCAAAUGGGGAGCACUUUUAUCAUUUUUUUCAUUUGGUGUUGCUCUGCCAGGGGACUGGAAGACAUAUGUCACUUUUCCACCUUAACGGGGCAUUUUCUAGUUUGUUUGGAUUUAUGUCACAAGCUUAAUGAGAUUUAAAUGGAAUUUUUGUAUGUGAAUAAUACGAAGCAUUAAUGCAAAAACUUUAGUUUGCUGUGCUGCUGGCAGAAUUUGCAUAAGGGUUUUUAAAUAUGAAAGAAGAAUAUGGAAGGCCCUUAUCAAUCACAAGGCAUGAGCAAUACUGGAGCCAUAGAGGGAGCAGAUCAAAUUAUGUAAGUAACUAUACUUUUGGAAAAAAAGGUGACGUCUGCAGAUUUAUGAAACUUGCCUCUGUUGGAGAACGGCAAAGUGGUGCCAGCCUGGAUGGGAGACGAGGCACCCGCGGAGGACUCCAGCAUCCUUGAUAGGACUUUCAAGUUCUCACCUUCAUCCAGACCAGCCUCCAACACAUAAACGGACGGCCGUGCGCUCCUAUUUCGUACUGUGCUGGGUAGACAGGGUUUCAAGGAGAGCACCUGGGGCCAUUAACUCUCUUGGGAAAGGGAUACACCUUGCUCCGCGUUUGUAAACAACUCAGCAUUUGCAGUUCUGAGAACCAAGGCACUUAAAGGGAGCGUGGAGGUCAUUUGACAGCUCCCUUGACAGACUCAGGGUGUUCUAAGAUGCCUUUCUUGCACCCCCUGGGCCUUGGGGGAUUUCCAAGACGUUGCCUUAUUUGCUUUAGCCUUGUCACAGUGGUGCCCACCCUGGCAUUUUAUACGCCCCCUCCAG